rnacentral:rRNA from 1 species
GUCCAUGGCCACGUCACCCUGAACACGUCGAUCCUGUCUGACCUCGGAAGCUAAGCAGGGUCGGGCCUGGUGAGUACUUGGAUGGGAGACUACCUAGGAAGACCAGGUGCUGUAGGCA